UACGGAGGGUGCAAACGUUGCUCGGAAUCAUUGGGCGUAAAGCGCGCGUAGGCGGUCCGGCAAGUCGGGUGUGAAAGCCCUCGGCUUAACCGAGGAAGUGCAUUCGAAACUACUGGACUUGAAUACUGGAGAGGAUCGCGGAAUUCCCGGUGUAGAGGUGAAAUUCGUAGAUAUCGGGAGGAACACCAGUGGCGAAGGCGGCGAUCUGGACAGAUAUUGACGCUGAUGUGCGAAAGCGUGGGGAGCAAACAGG
rnacentral:rRNA from 1 species